rnacentral:rRNA from 1 species
UACGAAGGGUGCUAGCGUUGUUCGGAAUCACUGGGCGUAAAGCGUGCGUAGGCGGCUUUGCAAGCCAGGGGUGAAAUGCCGGAGCUUAACUCCGGAACUGCCUUUGGAACUGCAUAGCUAGAGUGUCGGAGGGGAUAGCGGAAUUCCUAAUGUAGCGGUGAAAUGCGUAGAUAUUAGGAGGAACACCGGUGGCGAAGGCGGCUAUCUGGACGACAACUGACGCUGAGGCACGAAAGCGUGGGGAUCAAACAGG